GCGCGUUUUUGUAGGAAGUACCUCCCGAGUUUUGUUGGCCAGAAGUGCUACAACUGAAGCAUUCUACCAAUUGAAUCGUCUACUUAACCGUACUCCUCAGUUCAAAGCAAUAGGUGUUCAAUUUAACGCGUAACAACAGUGCGUCGCCAAGGAAUAAAUAUUUAAAAAAAAAAAAGUAAGCUUUUUGUUUCAAAAUCGAGCGUGGUCGAGCCGGAAAAAUUAUUAGCAGCGCUAAGCGAAAGAAAAAAUAUUUUGCCCAGUCACCGCAAACGAUUUCUGCAAACGCCGCCAAGAAGUAAUUACUUUCCAGCGAAUUGUGCAACAACAUUUUUGGUUCAAAAACGCGCGAAACAAGCAUAAAAAAAUUAUUAAAUAAUAACUAAUCGAUAGAUCAUGAAACAGUGUUGAAAUAUUCAAAAAACAAAAAGGAAGCCGCAUUCUAUCGAGUAUCUGAAAAUUGCAAUCGAAGCUCGAGAAGUAUCGCAAAUACUUGUCUGAUAAACAACACAAAUUUUUGACAGCGCGUGUGUGCCGGUGUGUGUGCCAGUGUGCCAGUAUCAGAGUGUGUGUUGUUGGUGUGUUGGCUGUCUGCUUUUGACAGAUAAAAGUUGUCGAAGGAGAGAGUCGGUCGGAAAAUUUAUUGAAAAAGUAUAUAGUGCAAGAGCCGGGCCAGGCCAGGCAGCAGGGAAAUUUCACGGAAAAGUCCAUUGUUUUUGCCGGCAAAGUUAAUGACGUCACGUUGUACCGCUGCCUGCUUUAAAGCCAACAACAACAACAUAGCGCGUGUUUAGCAACAGCAACAGCAACAACAAUAAAAGAGGUUAAAAAUACAUUUUUAAUUUACCAUCAACGGCCAAGAAAGAGGAAAGGAGUCAAGACGGGCAGUAGCAGUGGCAGUAGCAGCUUCAACAACAACAGAAACAACAAACAGCAAGUCAGCUGGACAACCGAAGAUAAUGUAAAAUCAGCUUACACACAAAAAAGCAGUAAAAAAUAAAAGCAGAAAAAAAUUAAUAACUGCGUCUAUCUAUAGAUCUAUUAAAAAAAAAUAAAACACACACACAUCUAUAUAUAAAUAUUAUGAAUAAGCGUUCGAUUUGAAUCAAAAUUAAAGCCCAAGCUAUCAGCUAUCAGCUAUCCCCACAAGCUUUGUAAUCCAGAAAACGCUAAAGAAAAUCGAUAAACUGAAAUCAUACUAUAGAUCAUACUAUAGAUGCUAUAUGCUAUACUUAUAUAGGUGCUGAUCUGUGCUCUCUUCAAUUAGUGUUUUUUGUGUGUGUGCGUGUCGCGGAGAAGAGAAGAUUUGCAAAAAAAAAAGUACAUUUUCUAGUCGCUAGGCUAUAUCAAAAAAAAAAAAAAAACUAUAUAAAAUCCAGCUAACCCAGAUCCGAAUAGCUAUAUACCCCGAUAUACACACACGAUGGCCAACGUUGUCAAUAUGAACAGCCUGCUGAACGGCAAGGACUCGCGCUGGCUGCAACUGGAGGUCUGUCGCGAAUUUCAGCGCAACAAAUGUUCGCGCCAGGACACCGAGUGCAAGUUCGCCCAUCCCCCCGCCAAUGUGGAGGUCCAGAACGGCAAGGUCACCGCCUGCUACGACAGCAUCAAGGGCCGCUGUAAUCGUGAUAAACCGCCGUGCAAAUAUUUUCAUCCACCACAGCAUCUGAAGGAUCAAUUAUUGAUAAAUGGACGCAAUCACUUGGCCCUCAAGAAUGCAAUGAUGCAACAGUUGGGCAUCGCGCCCGGCCAGCCGGUUAUAUCGAGCCAAGUGCCAGCCGUGGCCACAAAUCCCUAUCUGACUGGCAUUCCGGCCAACUCGUACAGUCCCUACUACGCAACGGGACACCUGGUGCCCACCUUGCUGACUCCGGAUCAUACGGCCGUGGCCUCGCAGUUGGGACCCGUCGUCCCACAGACAGUGCAGGUGGCCCAGCAGAAAAUACCACGUUCCGACAGAUUAGAGGUGUGCCGCGAAUUCCUGCGUGGCGCCUGCAAACGGGCGGAAUCCGAAUGCCGGUUCGCGCAUCCGCAGGAUAGCGUCGCCAGGCACGACGACGGCUCGAUAACGGUUUGCAUGGACGCCGUGAAGGGCAGGUGCGCACGCGACCCCUGCCGCUACUUCCAUCCCCCCCUGCACCUACAGGCACAAUUAAAAGCGGCCCAAACACGCGCCACCGCUGUCGCUGCUGCAGCUGCGACCUCACCCGUUACGGCGCACCAUCACCAGCAACAACAACAAUUGCAACAACAGCUGAACAACAACAUCAACAACAGUAACGCCGCAGCAGGUGCAGCAAUCACAUCGACAACAACAACAGCCACAAACAACGCCGCUGCCGCCGCUGCUGCCGCCGCCGCCGCUGCCGCCGCCGUCAUGGGCCACCAUCACACUCACACACUGGAAGUGGGCAAGAAGCGGGCGGCGGACACUACUGAUAUGUUUCCACUGCAAUUCUCUGGCAUGGUGCCGUUCAAACGUCCAGCUGCCGAAAAGUCUGGCAUUCCAGUUUAUCAGCCCGGUGCGACCGCCUAUCAGCAGUUAAUGCAGCCAUAUGUGCCAGUCUCAUUUACUGGACACCCUCCCGGUGUGCCAAGAUUUUAAUAGAUCUAUGUGCAGUCGGUUAAAUUGUAGAUUCGUUCAUUUAACUGAAGAUGACAAGGUCGAGGUGAUUGAUCAACGUGUUGCUGUGUGCCGCGAUCACGCCAACAGCCAGUGCCGUCGCAAGCAGUGUAAAUACUA
rnacentral:misc_RNA from 1 species